rnacentral:lncRNA from 1 species
CACCUCCACUAAGCGUGUCAUCUACAGAAGAGACCACGGGGCCUGUGACAGGAGGCAAAAUCUCCAGAACACAGGCUUCUUGAUAGUUCCUCUAAUUCCAUCGAAUCUGGAUUUAGUUUUCGUUUUGUUUUGUUUUUUUCUGAAAAACCAAACCAGUCUCCUCACUCUUCUCCCUUUAUCUACACGAAAGACAGAAAAGGAGCCCUUUUGCUAUGAAAACGAAUUCUUCCGUUUUUAAUCCUUUCAGCCAUGUCGCAUCAGCCAGGAGCAUGGAGCAACUAACAAGGGAAACAGAGAAAUAUUCCCAGCAAGCGCUGUCAUUGCCCCACCAGGGUCUGAGUGAAGCUGGCGGAAGUGGCGUCUCGGACAGCUCUGUGGUACAAGGACUCAGGGGAAGAUUGGAGAAAACUAAGACCCUGGCCCAGCAGUUGUCAAGGGAAGCCACCCAAACUGACGUGGAAGCGGAUAGGUCUUAUCAGCACAGUCUCGGCCUUCUGGAUUCCGUGUCUGGGCUUCAGAUAGUGGACGAUCGGUCCUUUCAGGUGGAAGCGAAGAGAAUCAGACAAAAAACUGAUUCUCUCUCUAGCCUGGUGACCAGGCAUAUGGAUGAGUUCGGGCGUGUGCAGAGCAAUCUGGAAAACUGGGAAAAAGAAACCCAGCAGCUCUUACAGAAUGGAAAAAAUGAGAGACAGAAAUCAGAUCAGCUGCUUUCCCGUGCCAACCUUGCUAAAAGCAGAGCCCAAGAAGCACUAAGUAUGGGCAAUGCCACUUUUUAUGAAGUUGAGAACAUCCUAAAGAACCUCAGAGAGUUUGACCUGCAGGUGGAAGACAGGAAGGCAGAAGCCGAAGAGGCACUGAGGAGACUCUCCUACAUCAGCCAGAGAGUUGCAGAUGCCAGUGACAAGACCCAGCAGGCCGAAGCGGCCCUGGGCAGCGCCUCAGCGGACGCCCGGAGUGCAGAGAAGACGGCCAGGGAGGCCCUGGAGAUCUCCAGCGAGAUAGAACAGGAGAUAGGGAGUCUGAACUUGGAAGCCAAUGUGACUGCAGAUGGGGCUUUGGCCAUGGAAAAGGGACUGGCCACUCUAAAGAGCGAGAUGAGGGAGGUGGAAGCAGAGCUGGCCAGGAGGCAGCUGGAGUUUGACACGGACAGGGAUGCGGUGCAGAUGGUGAUUACAGAAGCCCAGAGAGUUGAUACCAGAGCCAAGAAUGCAGGCGUUACAAUCCAAGACACGCUCAGCACCCUGGACGGCAUCCUACAUCUGAUAGACCAGCCUAAUGCUGUGGAUGAAGAGCGACUGAUCUUAUUGGAGGAGGAGCUUUUCCGUGCCAAGACCCGGAUCAACAGCCAGCUGAGGCCCUUGAUGGCAGAGCUGGAGGAGAGGGCGCGUCGACAGAAGGGCCACCUCCAUCUGCUGCAGACAAGCAUAGAUGGAAUUCUGGCGGACGUGAAGAACCUGGAAAACAUUAGGGACAACCUGCCCCCGGGCUGCUACAAUACCCAGGCUCUCGAGCAACAGUGA